GACGAACGCUGGCGGCGUGCUUAAUACAUGCAAGUCGAACGGAAAGGCGCUGCUUUUGUGGGGUGCUCGAGUGGCGAACGGGUGAGUAAAACGUGAGUAACCUGCCCUUGACUUUGGGAUAACUUCAGGAAACUGGGGCGAAUACCGGAUAGGAGCUCUUGCUGCGUGGGGGGGGUUGGAAAGUGUCGGCGGUGGGGGAUGGUCUCGCGGCUUAUCAGCUGGUUGGGGGGGUAGUGGCUUACCAAGGCUUUGACGGGUAGCCGGCAUGAGAGGGUGACCGGCCACAUUGGGACUGCGAUACGGACCAGACUCCUACGGGAGGCAGCAGUGGGGAAUAUUGCACAAUGGGCGGAAGCCUGAUGCAGCAACGCCGCGUGCGGGAUGACGGCCUUCGGGUUGUAAACCGCUUUCGCCUGUGACGAAGCGUGAGUGACGGUAAUGGGUAAAGAAGCACCGGCUAACUACGUG
rnacentral:rRNA from 1 species